CUUCUUUUAUUUUUUUACAUGAAAUCAGAUCCUAAUCUAAUUUUUCAUGAUAAAAAUCCUCCUCAAAGUGUCACACACAUAAGAAAAAAAAAUAAGUUGGCAUAUGGAGUGAUUUGGAUAGGAACAGAUUCUCUUGAUAAGGAAUGUUUUGAAAUUCAAUUUCAAAACCUUUCUUUUAUCAAAACCAAAUCAGUUUUGGAUGUGAGAAAGGGAGGGAGA
rnacentral:lncRNA from 1 species